CCCUACGGGCGGCAGCAGUGGGGGAUAUUGCACAAUGGGGGGAACCCUGAUGCAGCGACGCCGCGUGGGUGAAGAAGCGCCUCGGCGCGUAAAGCCCUGUCAGCAGAGAAGAAAAUGACGGUACCUGAAGAAGAAGCCCCGGCUAACUACGUGCCAGCAGCCGCGGUAAUACGUAGGGGGCAAGCGUUAUCCGGAUUUACUGGGUGUAAAGGGGGCGCAGACGGCGAUGCAAGCCAGGAGUGAAAGCCCGGGGCCCAACCCCGGGACUGCUCUUGGAACUGCGGGGCUGGAGUGCAGGAGGGGCG
rnacentral:rRNA from 1 species